AGAGAGAGAGAGAGAGAGAGAGACGGGGUUGGAGAAAUGCUUUGAGGAGUAAUGGUUGCUUGGAGACUGUUGUCAAGGAGACGAUGAGUCCUAGAGUCCUUUGGCAUCUCAAAUGUCCUAUAUUUAUGUUGAUUUUCUGAAAGAGGAGGGGUUUUUGUUUGUUUUUACUUUUUUUUUUCUCCACCCAGCAGCGCACAGAUUAUACAUGCGCAGGGCUAUAAUAACCAAACAACAAAAGGGAGCGGGGAGUGAGUGAAAGAUAAGGCCAAGUGGUUGUAAUAGCAGGUUGAAGACGAAGGCACAAAUCAACCUCACUUAUAUGGGCCGCUGAAUGCCUCGUGCAACGCUCCCCACGACUCCACUAAUGUGGAUUAAUAGCAGGUCAAAAGAUCUCGCGAGAUUUGGCGACACUGCUACCUGCAUCAGUGACCAGACGGCCUGUGUGUGCAGCACCUAACCACGUCUCGCUGUUGUGCUCGCGUUUCUACAUGUACAGAGAGGGAAUUAAAGAGGAGUCUUAAAACCGUGUGCACGCCUGGAAGUCCUGUGAAUCCAAGUGUGCAACAAUAAACACCUAAAGUGGGAAAACAGAAAGCCUGGCUCUGUGCAAAGAAUGUCACUGAAGAGCUUUCGCUUCUUGGACUCGCCGCUCUGUAUUUCCUGCCAGUGAGAUCUUCUGUGGAUGAAGUGGGAGAGGGCAAAUUUGGCCCACACAUGGCGAGCAAACUGAUGUGACCUCAGCUGACUUUCACUCUGCACUGGAAGGGGGGAGAUGGGGAAAGGAAGUCAUUGACGGUGUGAUGAUUUGUGUUACCUAGUUCCUGUGCGAUGCUCUGCCUGUGACUGACUGAAGCGCUGUUCCAUACGGCCUCCAGCACCCGACUGCCCAACCUGGAGCACGCCAUGUUGACAUACUGACCCUGGGAGGACAAAUGUGGUACCUCCAGUCUCUUGAGGAUCUUGCCUCUUCCCUUGUCGCUGGAUGUGGUGAUGAGGGCCUGGAGGACGUGGCUGCCGGAGGGGUCAGAAGCCAGCGUCAGGAGGUCAGCGGGGGUCAGGGUGCGCAGGCUG